AAAUGGAUAAAUUCCUUGACACAUACACCCUCCCAAGACUAAACCAGGAAGAAGUUGAAUCUCUGAAUAGACCAAUAACAGGCUCCGAAAUUGUGGCAAUAAUCAAUAGCUUACCAACCAAAAAGAGUCCAGGACCAGAUGNNNNNNNNNNACAAAGAUCAAAAGAGACAAAGAAGGUCAUUACAUAAUGGUAAAGGGAUCAAUUCAACAAGAAGAGCUAACUAUCCUAAAUAUAUAUGCAUCCAAUACAAGAGCACCCAGAUUCAUAAAGCAAGUCCUCAGUGACCUACAAAGAGACUUAGACUCCCACACAUUAAUAAUGGGAGACUUUAACACCCCACUGUCAACAUUAGACAGAUCAAUGAGACAGAAAGUCAACAAGGAUACCCAGGAAUUGAACUCAGCUCUGCACCAAGCAGACCUAAUAGACAUCUACAGGACUAUCCACCCCAAAUCAACAGAAUAUACAUUUUUUUUCAGCACCACACCACACCUAUUCCAAAAUUGAUCACAUACUUGGAAGUAAAGCUCUCCUCAGCAAAUGUAAAAGAACAGAGAUUAUAACAAACUAUCUCUCAGACCACAAUGCAAUCAAACUAGAACUCAGGAUUAAGAAUCUCACUCAAAACCGCUCAACUACAUGGAAACUGAACAACCUGGUCCUGAAUGACUACUGGGUACAUAACGAAAUGAAGGCAGAAAUAAAGAUGUUCUUUGAAACCAAUGAGAACAAAGACACAACAUACCAGAAUCUCUGGGACGCAUUCAAAGCAGUGUGUAGAGGGAAAUUUAUAGCACUAAAUGCCCACAAGAGAAAGCAGGAAAGAUCCAAAAUUGACACCCUAACAUCACAAUUAAAAGAACUAGAAAAGCAAGAGCAAACACAUUCAAAAGCUAGCAGAAGGCAAGAAAUAACUAAAAUCACAGCAGAACUGAAGGAAAUAGAGACACAAAAAACCCUUCAAAAAAUUAAUGAAUCCGGGAGCUGGUUUUUUGAAAGGAUCAACAAAAUUGAUAGACCGCUAGCAAGACUAAUAAAGAAAAAAAGAGAGAAGAAUCAAAUAGAUGCAAUAAAAAAUGAUAAAGGGGAUAUCACCACCGAUCUCACAGAAAUACAAACUACCAUCNNNNNNNNNNUUCGAUCAAAAGAGACAAAGAAGGCCAUUACAUAAUGGUAAAGGGAUCAAUUCAACAAGAAGAGCUAACUAUCCUAAAUAUAUAUGCACCCAAUACAGGAGCACCUGGAUUCAUAAAGCAAGUCCUGAGUGACCUACAAAGAGACUUAGACUCCCACACAAUAAUAAUGGGAGACUUUAACACCCCACUGUCAACAUUAGACAGAUCAAUGAGACAGAAAGUCAACAAGGAUACCCAGGAAUUGAACUCAGCUCUGCACCAAGUGGACCUAAUAGACAUCUACAGAACUCUCCACCCCAAAUCAACAGAAUAUACAUUUUUUUCAGCACCACACCACACCUAUUCCAAAACUGACCACAUACUGGGAAGUAAAGCACCCCUCAGCAAAUGUAAAAGAACAGAAAUUAUAACAAACUGUCUGUCAGACCGCAGUGCAAUCAAACUAGAACUCAGGAUUAAGAAACUCACUCAAAACCGCUCAACUACAUGGAAACUGAACAACCUGCUCCUGAAUAACUACUGGGUACAUAAUGAAAUGAAGGCAGACCCACAGAAAUACAAACUACCAUCAGAGAAUACUACAAACACCUCU
rnacentral:lncRNA from 1 species